UUCCUUACAAUACUUGAAUAGAUACCAAUACAACUAUAACCAUUAACUCAUAAUACACACUUAUUCGAUCAGCUUUCCUUUUCCUUUGUUCGUGCCUGAGCCUUCAGGUUGCUCAUACAUAACUGAAAACAUUUAAUUUAAGCAAGGAUGAGCAUUUGAGUGCCCAGCAAGUAAUAGCAAUUAUAUAUAUAAGCUGAAAGAAUAUAAGUAUUCUCUUUACAUAACACUUCUACAACGAAUCAAAAGUUGUGAAGUAAUCUGUACUGAUAAAAGAUUCACAUAACAACUCUCUUUCAAUUUCUUGAAAUUAGGCUCCACCCAUGAAUAGGGUUUAAGAAACAUACUAUGAACAUUGUUUUUCAUUUUCGAAAAGGUUUAGCAGAAAUUCAUCCGCAAACCGUCAUAACUUACGGGCACGGAGGGUGAUCAGCCCCGUUGUACCCUGUAUUGAUCAAUACUACAUAACUUGAACGAAAUUCAUCGCUCACCCUUUGUCCGCCGAAGCGCAUAAAAAUUUUCCCAUUAUCGGGAUGUUCAUACAUGCCUGGUUCCAAACCCGAAGGUUUUUAAUCUUGCUCAACAAUAAUAUGUAAUUCAACAUAUAUGUAUACGGGUAAUUGACAAAGGUAUAUCAACAUGUGAAUAAAUGCCAUGAUUAUCCAAGUGGGGACACUUGUAUAACCAUUUAGAAAUCAACUUAACAGAAUAUAUAUCUGAGCUAACAUGUUGAUAAUCAAAGCGUACAUAAUCUGUACAGGAAUAGAAUAAUUCUGAAACUUCUUACUCAUGUCCAUUGCAUAAAGGAAAUGCAAAGGUAAGAUACUUGCCUGAUUCGCUGAUUACAAAUCUCAACUUAGGUUUUAUCUCUUUAUCACAACCUAUCAAUAAUCAGAUCAUUCGUUCGAUUAGAACAAUAUAUCAUAACACAUAGUACUGUCUAUUACAGUCAGCACAUAGUCUAAUCACGUCAUCACAUAAUCGCAGUGAUCAUACUUUUAGUUCAUAUUCUAUACUUGAAAUAUUUUUAUACAUUUUUCAAAUAUCUCAUCCAUGCUCUUACAGAAGUCUUUUCUUUCUAUUAUAGGGUCUGACAUUUGUCGGCGUACCGACAGCUUUAUCGGGUAAAUACUGAGUCUAAGACUCUUAUCCUAUACCUCAACAUCUGUAAAUAUCAAACAUUUUAUUUUUAAUCAUUUUCGAAUUUUCCAGAAAUUGAAAAAUUUAAAAUAAUUCAAAUCUGUCACUACCGGGCCUAUAGUGAUAUAACUGUUACUAUAGGUGUUCCUCAAAACUUCAUAACUUCAUAAUCGGUUCUCAAGUCAGCUAGUUUGGCCGGCUAUAACUUUCAAACAUCGGAAUCAUAAUUAAAUGAUUUAAACAUUAAACAAUUCCAUUAUCAUUAAUAAUUAAUUUAUAUUAAACUAUUAAUGAAACCAUUGCCAAAAUAUAAAAGUUAUUUAUAAUAACUCAAACUAUUUUUAAAACAUUUAUAUUACCCUUAAAUGAUUUUUAAAACAAUUAAAAUCAUUUUUAAAUAAUCACCAUUAAUAUAUAAAUAUUAAUGUACUAUUCAUCCAAAUAUUAAAAGUCAUUAAUUAUAACUUAAAAUAUUUUUAAAUCCUUAAUAUCCUCUUUAAAUGAUUUUUAAAUAAAUAAAACCAUUUUUAAACUAUUUAUUUAAUAAUAAUUAUUAAAUAAACUAAAUAUCAUUAAUAUUAUCUUAAUAUCAUUAAUAUUAAAUUAUUAAUGAAAUUAUCCUUUAAAUAUUAAAAGUUAUAUUUUAUAACUUAAAAUAUUUUUAAAUACCUUAAUUUCAUUUAAAAUGAUUUUUAUAAUAUUAAAAUCAUUUUUAAACUAAAUUAUUUAAUAUAAUCAUUAAAUAACUUUAAUAUCAUUAAUAUAUAAUUAAUUAAUGAAAUUCAUCACAAAAUAUUAAAAGUCAUGGGAAAUAACUUAAAAUAUUUUCUUAUACCAUAAUAUAAUUUUUCAUGAUUUUUCAUGAAUUAAAACUAUUUUUAAAUCAUUUAUUUAAUAUUAUAAUUAAAUAAAUAAAUACCUUUUAUAUUCCAAAAAUAUUAAAUAUUUAUGAAAUAUACUCAAAAUAAUUAAAAACUAUUUUUCAGACUUUAAAAUAAUUUUUCAUAAUUUAUUUGGUAUUUUUAAUAAUUAAAAUCUAAUUUUUCUAAUUUUUAAAUCAUUUUUCGGAAAAUCAGAAAUUAAAAUAAUUAAAACUGUCGCUAAAGGCCCCUAUAGUGACAGAAGUGUCGCUAUAGGUGUUCUUGAGCCUACCCAGAUCUUCAUAAGGCAGAACCGAGUGGCCUACUUUGACCGUGAAUAACUCUCUCAUCUUAACGAAUUUGGACAAUCUAUAAAUUGGGUCUUGUAGAGGAAAUACAAGACUACAAGAUCCAACAAUCAUAACCUCUAAACAAACAUCAGAUCUGGGAUAAAUCAGCCAUCAAAGUAGCUACCAAAGCUGUUCUUCACGAAGAACAGUUCGAGGUGCCUACUUUGGACCUCUAUAACUUGAUGAUCGUGUAACGUUUAUGUGAUCUAUCAAUUCCAGUGUGUAGACAACAUGUAGGACUACAACUCUAACACUUAACAUCAUCAUAAAAACAAGAAAUCAAGCAUCUAAAGUAUGGUCAAACCUUGUCAGAAAAAUUAACACUUAGAAAAUUCUGGGCUGCCCAGAAUUUUCUGGUCAAUGCCGGUCAACCCACUUUGACCUUAAAUAACUCUUAAUCCGUAAUAUAUAUGGACCUGAUUCUUUUUGGAGGUUAAAUACCACAUAACAAGCUACACAUAUCAACCUUUAUAACACAAAACACAUUAAAGAUGACCGAGAUAUAAGGCCUGACAUUUGCCAAAAAAUAUUUUCUGGACACUUAGAAUAUUUUCUGGGUUUGAAAAACAGCCGGUCAAUGCCGGUCAACCCACUUUGACCGCUUAUAAAUUCUGAUCUACAAUAGAUAUGAACUUGAUUCUUUCUGAAUAUUAAAGACCACAUAUCAGGCUACAUAUAACAACUUUUAAACAACAAAACUCAUGAUCGACCAAAGAUUUAUAGCCUCUGACAUUUGGUGAAAAAUAACAGAAUUCGGUUUUUCCAACUUGUUUAAAUCUUCAAAUUCGUGCACUUUGAUGUUAUGGGUUCAUGAUUUUACAACCCAGAACAUUAAUAGACUUCUUAUUACACAACUUUAAACAAUCAAUUGCAUCAAUUAACAUCGAAUCGAAGGAUUUCUAAUUUUUGGGAUUUCAUACCUUUUCUUACUUGAUUUUUGAUUUCUGACUUCUUGAUGCUUCUGAUUUGUUAUUUGUGAUGGCUGGGCUUUGAUUAUGAGCUUAUGGGUAAGAGAAAUUCGUUGGCUAGAGUUUGAGAGAGUGUAGCUAGAGAGUUUAGAAAAUAUUAGAGUGUGUUUUCAUUAUUUCUCCUUCAAUCUCUAUAUAUAGACCCUUAGAUUGCCUUGGAUGCUUAUAUGGCUGGUAUAAUUGAGCUCACAUGAUAAUUAUGGAGUGGUUGGCCGGAUUUUUAGGGAUUGGUAGCUCAAUAAUGCACAAAUAAUGCACUAAAAUGCAUUUUCUCUCUCUUUAAUUUAUAUAAAAAUUAUAUAGAUACAUUGGAUGCUAGAUUAGUUGAUUGAGUGAGCAUAAUUGAGCAUUGGAUGCUCAAUUGGUAGGGUAAGUAUGUUUGCCAUGCUUUGCUAGAAAGAUUCUUCCAAUAAUGUAACUAAUAAUACACUAAUAAACCAAAAAGGGUAAUUUGGUAAUUUCGCAUAUAAUUUCAUGGGCAUUUUUGUACAUAGCAAUUAAAUGUAAUAUUUAAUCACUAGAUGGUAAUUCUUAUCAUUUACCAAUUACUUUUUAUCCUUUGGUAAAUUAAAACAUUUAUACAAUAACAUCGUAAUUAAACCCAAUAAUUU
rnacentral:lncRNA from 1 species